GCCCAGCCUCAUUAUAAGCUGCUCCAGGCGGUGGCGGGGGAGGCAGCCAGGGCGGGAAGAGGAGCUCGCUGCCUCCUGGUAAUUUCUUAACUUUCUCCUCCAAAAUGUCCUCUAUCUUUCAAAAAUAACCCAAAGUUUCUUAGAUGAAUAAUAAUACUGGUGCUGCUGAUAAAGGCUGCACUUUCGGAAUUGUUAUUCAGGACGUGCUCAGCACACCUAUUGCUGGUUCCUCACAGUGGCCCGUGGCAUCACAGAUGAGGGACUGGGGCUUGGUAGGGUUCAGGGGUAAGUACAGGGCCUGGGACUAGAACCGGGGCCUCUGACUGGGAAGCUCGUGGACCCCUGGAACUGGGCUUCCCCUGAGGUUGCUGAGCCGGAAGCGUGGCUUGCCCACAUGGUGAUUUUGGAUUUUGAGCCUGCAGAACCGAGAGAGAGUUUACUGUUAUUGUU
rnacentral:lncRNA from 1 species